UGUAACCACACCCCUUCUCCUGUUGAAGUGCUUUCCUGAUUUGCCGGACCUGUAUUCCUAGCCUUCCCUCUGACGCUCGCCUUCGGUAUGUCCUUGUCCCUGCAUGUUCAGUGAGGAACCGUACUUCGCCGCUGACCUCGUCAUUCCAGUUAUAACUGUUAAGCCUCAUCUGCUUAGCCAGUGAGACUCCGUGACCGUGCUGAAGGGCCUGAUCACAACGGUGCUGCUGUUUUGUUUAGCCUGACAAUGCCUGUAUGAUCCAGCAUGCUCGUUACUCUGCCAAACUGUUGUUUUGCAUGUUGGUCUGACAUAUCUCUGAGCUGGGUGUUCGUUUUCUUUGUCAUGUUGUUUUUGUCUGGGCAUUGUACCAUCUUGUCAACUCCAAUGGGGUAAUGCUUCUGUCUGGUGUAUUUUCUGUCUGCAUGUGACUGUGGAUAAGGCUGGUGGCGCUGUAGCUGUCCUGGUGCAUGUUGGUUAUUUGUUCUGGUCUGUAGUUAGUCUCUAUAGAUGAUUGCUAUUAUUGUCUGAGUGAUUCAUGCUUAUGAUGGACUGUUGGUAUCUCCUGGUGCAAUAAUUGUUUUCAUUUUAUUUAUUAAGCAGUUGCU